CUGCCUCGCCCACCUCACCGUUGGCUCUAGCCCCGCCUUCAGCUCUAGUCCCUUGGUUACCUCUGGUCCUGAAAGAGACCUGGUGCCUCCCUUUGGCCCUAACCCAACCCCAUCGAAGCUUCCUGGGCUAGCUUUAGGAGCUACAGUAGUCCCUAGGCCCCCAAGGGCCUAAGCUCUGAUUUGGGGUCACAUAUCCAGCCUUUACUCCUGGCUCUGUUCCUUUCGGCCCACAGAAUCACUGAAGGAUCUGGUGUCGGCCUGUGGCAGUGGAGGGAACACAGACGUGCUCAUGGAGGGCGUGAAGACUGAGGUGGAGGACACACUGACCCCACCCCCCUCGGAUGCUGGCUCACCUUUCCAGAGCAGCCCCUUGUCCCUUGGCAGCAGGGGCAGUGGCAGCGGUGGCAGUGGCAGUGACUCGGAGCCUGACAGCCCAGCCUUUGAGGACAGCAAGCCAGAGCAGCGGCCGUCUUCGCACAGCC
rnacentral:sRNA from 1 species